AUGGCAUUGCACGCCCCCGUCCUCGUGCUGAAGGACUCGUUGAAGAGGGAAUCCGGCGCCAAGGUUCAGCAUGGCAACAUCCAGGCCGCGAAGGCUGUGUCAGACAUCAUUCGCACAACGUUGGGUCCUAGGUCCAUGUUGAAGAUGCUUCUGGAUGCCAGUGGAGGUAUCGUGGUCACUAAUGACGGCAAUGCUAUAUUACGGGAGCUAGACAUUGCACAUCCUGCUGCUAAGUCUAUGAUUGAGCUAAGCCGCACACAGGAUGAAGAAGUGGGAGAUGGGACAACAUCUGUAAUUGUUCUAGCUGGUGAGAUGCUCCAUGUUGCAGAAACAUUUAUUGAAAAGAACUACCAUCCCACUGUCAUUUGCCGAGCAUACAGCAGAGCUCUUGAGGAUGCCAUAGCUGUCCUUGACAAAAUUGCAAUGCCUGUUGAUGUUAAUGACCGCGAGGCAAUGCUAGGGUUGGUGAAGAGCUCCAUUGGUACAAAAUUCACUGGCCAGUUUGGCGACCUAAUUGCUGACCUUGCCAUAGAUGCUACUACAACAGCAGGUGUAGACCUGGGUCAAGGAAUGCGUGAAGUUGAUAUCAAGAAAUAUAUCAAAGUAGAGAAGAUUCCUGGCGGCCAGUUGGAGGACUCAAAGGUUCUUAAAGGGGUCAUGUUCAAUAAAGAUGUUGUGGCUCCUGGAAAAAUGAAAAGGAAGAUAGUAAAUCCACGCAUCAUCCUUUUGGAUUGCCCUGUUGAGUACAAAAAGGGGGAAAAUCAGACAAAUGCCGAGUUGAUGAGUGAAGAAGAUUGGAAGGUUCUGCUAGAUAUGGAGGAAGAAUACAUCAAGAACCUCUGUGUGCAAAUUUUGAAAUUCAAGCCUGACCUGGUUAUCACAGAGAAAGGACUCAGUGACAUGGCUAUGCAUUAUUUAAGCAAAGCUGGUGUUAGUGCAAUCCGUAGACUUAGGAAGACAGAUAACAACAGGAUUGCUAAAGCCUGUGGUGCAGUUAUAGUUAACAGGCCAGAGGAGCUUCAAGAAUCAGAUGUGGGGACACGAGCUGGUCUCUUUGAGGUUAAGAAGAUCGGUGAUGAAUUCUUUUCCUUCAUUAUUGAAUGCAAAGAUCCUAAAGCAUGCACUGUUCUAUUGAGGGGAGCAAGCAAGGACAUCUUGAACGAGGUGGAGAGGAACCUUCAGGAUGCCAUGUCUGUUGCAAGGAACAUUUUGAAAAACCCGAAACUUCUACCUGGAGGUGGUGCUUCUGAAUUGACUGUAUCGGCAACACUAAAGCAAAAGAGUUCUUCAGUUGAAGGUGUUGAAAAGUGGCCUUAUGAAGCUGCUGCUUUAGCAUUCGAAGCAAUCCCAAGAACUUUGCUUCAAAAUUGUGGUUUGAAUGUUAUUAGGACGAUGACACAACUCCAGGGAAAGCAUGCGAAUGGUGAAAAUCCUUGGGUUGGUGUUGAUGGAAGGACUGGUGAUAUUGUUGACAUGAAAGAGCGGAAGAUCUGGGAUUCUUACAGCGUGAAGGCACAGACGUUCAAGACAGCAAUCGAGUCUGCUUGCAUGCUUCUAAGGAUUGACGACAUUGUCAGUGGAAUCAAGAAGAAGCAGGCUCCUGGCUCUGGUGCUCCCAAGCAACCCCAGAUUGAAACGGGUGAAGAUGCGGACACUGAACAGAUGAUCCCGGAGUAG
rnacentral:rRNA from 1 species